CGAUGAGACAGACCGUGUAAAAAUGUCCCUGGGACGGCCUACUGCCUCCUAGCAGAGCAAGGAAGGGAACCAGCAAGCAACAAAGCGGAUUAUAGAGGCACACACCUUAGAAAAACUAUUAGAGAGAGAAAGAAGACAUGGAGAUGGAUGCGGGGAUCUAAGCAGUGCAGCUCAGACGGAAGGGAUCCUGGUAGUUGGGAACCAAAGAAUACCACAAAGUCACCAUAAACUUGUCAGCUUACAGCGUUGUUCCAGGGAAAGGUUUCCCCAAUGUAACAACUCUGCUCCGUCGGCGGAAGGUUCCCCAGCGAAAGUGUUACAGUCUUGCUCCAUUCUGCACGGACUCGGGCAAGAGCUGCUACUUCUCUUCUCGGCUCCACUCCAUUCCACCAAAGAAGGUCUUCACCCAAACCUCUUCCAAGAUAUUUAUUGGGAGGGAAAAAUCCAGAAGGGUGGCUGCCUCUGCCGAGGUGGAAAAAGGCAGCUCCCAACUGAACAGGAAGUGAGUGGCCACCCCCGACCCUGCCCACUCCUGGCCUCUUCUCCCUCUGCUCUGGCACGGAGAGCUGUUGUUUGAAAGGACCGGCUGAGGAACUGAGGGCUCUGAAGGAGAGCUGCUUUGAUCUCUGCCGGACUGACCGGUGACCCUAGCCAUUUGGGUCACAUCUGUGGAGGAUCCUCAGUUCAAGAUGGCAUCCAGACAGAGAAGAAACAUUGGUCUCUGUACUUCCAACCAAGGGACGCAGGUUCCAUUCCACCAGAGACUCUAGAACAUCUUAUUGAUAAAGAAGCCCUCCAAGUCUGAACUGGGGUUCAUAAUGAAAUCAGUUUUCUUGGAAACCAUUUGAUGUUUUUAAAAUACUUCAAGGAAAACACCUUUAAUACGGGAACCCUAGUAAGGAACUUAAGAGUUUGCUGGGGAGGGUUGAGAUGGUUCCCUCAACUCUCUCAAGAGUGUUUACCGAGCAAGCAAGAGUACCUGCAAUUGAUCCCCAGAACACAUGUUAAAAAAAUCCAAUCUGAGUGUGGUAUCUUGUAAUUCCAGCAGGGGAGUGGGGAGACCAGUGGAUCCCUGGGACUUUCUGGCCAGUGGAACCCUAGCCUUCUUGCUAAGUUUCAAGCAGGUGAGAGACCCUGCCUCAAAAACAAAAAGGUGGAUGGUACUUGAGGAACAACAGUAGAGGUUGUCUUCCACUUGCACACUUAGUCAGAUAUAAGUGCAUGUGAACACACACACACACACACACACACACACACAACAACAACAACAACAACAGCAAAAACCUUAAAAGUUUGGUUUCUUUCUUAAUGAAACAACUUCAUGACUUAAAGAGAUGAUGCAGAUAACAAACUCAGUCUCCCUAAAUACUGUCACUUCAUUUAUUCAUUAAAUUCUAUAUUUUUUUUGAGGAGCAAAAUAUAGGCCAUUGGGAGAAAAAGGAGAAACUGGAUCUUUCCCUUUUAUGUAUAUAGGUAUGAGAAUAUGGAAGUCAUUGUGGGGGAAUUUAUAAUUCUUCAUUAAAAAUUUCAACGAAAUCUCCUGUCCCCACUGGCGUACAUGUAGCUAAGAGGAGAAGAAAGACACUUUAUGAGGAAUUCUCAAUAUCAGACAUUUUAGGGGAUCACUAGGUGUCAGAAAGACAAUCCAUGUCAUUCAAAUGUAUCCCUUCUGCCCUUAUUUUCUCUGACUCUUUCAAGAGCUGGUCCUGAAGCUGAGGGAGGCUCUUGGCUGAAGAUGCUCUAUUUCUCCUGGCUCUUUUGAAUUCCCUUACCAUUAGUGAGGCAGCUACUGUUAACAAGCCAGAUCCCAUGUCUCUAUCCCUGUGUGAAAGGGAAGUAAGACUUUAGUUACCACCCAUCCCCGGGAGUACUCACCAGGAUGUACUUGAAAGUAAUCUAAAUCUGAAUGGUUUAAAUAUGAAGAUCUGAUGCUGUGGAGGACUAGUCUUGAUUUCUUAAUUAUUUGUAUAGAUGCAUUGUGCAUACUCAUAUACAUCUAUGCGAGUCUGCAGUCCUCCCGGGUACUCUAGUGACUGUUCAUCCUCACAUGAAGCUCUUGCUCUUCAGAAUGUCUGGCACCAUCUUUCCAUUCUUUAUGGACUGACUUUUUCUCUUUCCCUGGGUUUAGCUCAGUGUUCAUAUGCGCAGGAAACAUCUGAGGUCCCGGGAUGUAAACAGGCUUCUUAUUAUUGCUCCUGUAUACUGAGCAUAUUAUAAUAAAAUCAUUCACUUACUCACUGACUUUUUCUCUUUCCCUGGGUUUAGCUCAGUGUUCAUAUGCGCAGGAAACAUCUGAGGUCCCGGGAUGUAAACAGGCUUCUUAUUAUUGCUCCUGUAUAACUGAGCAUAUUAUAAUAAAAUCAUUCACUUA